CCCUCAAAGCUAUGUCCAUAACUCCUUUGCUCUUUCCUCUCCUAGGCUUAGCAGCCGAGGUGGACCAGCUGGUGUUUUCACAAUCUGCAGAGACAUACAGGGAAGGACGAUGGGGGGACGACAUGGUGAGUUCCACGGGGGAACCCGGCAGUAGUCAUUCCAGAAAGGAGAUACCUGAAGGCUAAAUCCCUAGGAAUCUGGAGCCUCCUGUCCACCUUGGCAGCACUGGGUGGCCUGGAAGUGAGGUCAUUAUACUGAGUUCCUGACAUGCUGGCGUCUGGUCAGGAAUCACUGAAGUUGAAGAGACCAAAGAUAAAAUGAUAGAGUUGACUUUAGUGAGAGUUAUUAAGAGGUAGAGGAGAG
rnacentral:lncRNA from 1 species